GGAUUCGAUCCCGGGUCUCCAGGAUCGCGCCCUGGGCCAAAGGCAGGCGCCAAACCGCUGCGCCACCCAGGGAUCCCCAGGGAUCCCCAGGGAUCCACUUCCUAAUGGAUAUCAUAUAAACAAAAUCCAAGUUGAUGCAUGGAGCAGAUGGUGUGUGUGCACACACGCCUGUGUAUAAAAGCAGCUAAAAAUACAGCCAGACCCAUGCAGUGAAGACAGGUGGAACACACAACCUAGAAAGUGAAGCAACUCCAUUUAUUCAGAAAAAAAAAUAAUAAUCUUGGUUCUAAUCUGUUGCCCUUAUGCUUAAGUUUUCCAAGCUAAAGAGCUAGCCACCAAAAUUCGCAAAGCGAGGCACACGCACAUAGGCACAAUUAUUUAAUUCUCAGAGCCUUUAAACUCCCCCCAAAACAGGGGCCUUGGGUUCUCUACCCAUCACUUGACAGGACUUCUUUAAACAAAGAACUACAGACAUCAAGCAGAUAACAGGGUCAAAUGAUUCCACUUUAUAGAAACAGUGAGUAGGAGGUUAAUUGUGUCAUUCAUUUUUCUAAACGUUACAAGAAAACCCGUGAACUAAAAGCCAAUGAUUUCUCGAUAUAAAUAACCGCGAUGCAUGAAAAUAUAUUGCACUAAGGAUUUACACAGUAGAAAUCACAAAGAUUCCUGCAAGUAACAAGUCUUCUACUAAGACUUAAAAUAGGAAUUUAUGUAAUUUACAAAAUGUAUUUAAGCACAGUUUUCAAAGCUAUCACAACGCAUUCAGGAAAGCAUUUAAAGCUUCGUGCACAUGUAAGACUACCGUUGAAACCACAUCCUUAGGUUUGGAGAACUCAAAAGUUUCAGGUCACUCCCAGAUCUGUACAGGCACCCCCUUGACCAGAAAGAUCUCCUCCUCCUCAUCUCCGGUGCCUACUGCUCCCUUCAGGGCCCAUCUCCCUGGCUCUCCACUCCCUGGACGGCUGUGGAAUUCCACUAAGACCUCUUCUCUGGCCGCUAUCAGCUGUUGCUUUGCUCCAGUUUUGCUCAGAGCCUUGAAAAUGCUGAUGCACACGGAGACUCUCCAAAAUAUACUGCGGUGAAUCACCACCAUCUCUUGCUUCUCAGAAUGCCAAAGGCUACAUCUUAGAAAUCCGUAUCCUGGUGAAAAUGAUUCACUUAGCUUGGCUCUUGAGUUUCUUCCACCGAGUGAUUCCUCAGCCAGGAGCUAAGUGUCCAUGGGUGGGGUGGGGGUGGGGGUUGACUCUCACCCCCCAAGGUGACCUGAGCACUUGAACAACCACUCACUGCCCUGGUAUCUCAGGUUUACAUCACUAGGUAGUAAGGACCACAGGCUACAAAGCAUCACCUCCCUUAGGAGGCCCAAGUUAAAACAACAUCCUCAAAUGGCUCAGUUAUCAAACAAUCUAAAUGAGACUCAGCUGCCCAGAUAAAAGAAAAGGGACUUUUUGGGGUGAAUUUCUCCUCUCUUGGUAAGUGAAAAUCUCUGUGUAAUGUAUUAGUUUUCCCACUUUUCCCCUGGUUGAAAAAAUACUAGAUAAUUUUUUUUAAUAAAAACAUUAUUUAUUAUUUGAGAGGGAGGGAGGGAGGAAGAGCAUGAGAACAAGCUUGGGGGAAGGGCAGAGGGAGAGGGAAACCCAAGAGGAGCCCCACUCAGGGCUCAAUCUCAUGGUGCUGAGAUCAGACCUGAACUGGAAACGAGUCAGAUGCCUAACCUCCUGCGCCCCCCAGGUGCCUCAGGUGUUCUUUGAAUGGUAUUAGAAAAUAAAAAUACACACAGACAAGAGAACAACCAAUAAACGUUUACCAGGCCCUGAUCAGCAGCACUCACCACUGUGAAAUACUUCUUUCCAGUCCUUUUUUAGGAGGACAGGAAUCUUUGAUCCACCAAUGUAUAUACACGUUAAAAAUUAUUUUUUACCUUUCUGUAUAAUUUUUCUGUAUUUCUUGCAUAUUUUUAUACACUGUAUACUUCUUAUAUAUAUAGUUUUUAUGUUCUUAUUUUAUGAAUUCAUUUGUUGUUUACGUUCAGGAUUAUAUAUGCAGUUUCAUAAUCAUUUUUUCUUAUCACAUACUGACGUUUUCAGGCUACUAAACUAUUAAGAUAUUCUUCAACAUCUUUGCCCUGUCCCCUCUUACGAGAGAUGGUUAAUUCACUGCUUAUGGACAAUUAGGUUUUCCUUCAAUUUCUUUUUUUUCCCCCUCAAUUUCUAAUAACAUUUAUUUCCUUAUAAGAGUUACUGAGAUUUGCCAUAAAGUUUGGAAACUCGAUUGGUUUUACCACAUGAAGGACAUACAUGUGUACUAUUUUAUAACUUGUUUUCAUCCACGUUGUAUCCUAAACACCUUCUUUAAAUAUACUUCUUGGUUAUUUCCUAAUUUUUUUAAACAACAACCCUGGGAACCAAAUUUCACGUGAUCUUCAUGAGUCAAGGUCAUCAUUGAGAACAUCGGUAACCUUACUACGCCAUUGCUAUGGGUGCAAAUAAUAGGCAUACUAUGGAAUGAAUGAGAGCAAUACCGUCAGAUGAAGAGAGGGUAUGUUUACCAGAACUGAUUUCUAGCCCUGUUCCUAUACAAUGAGCACAGCAGUUGUCGAGUGACUUCAGGGGAGGAUCACGCUGGGCGUUCCAGAACCACCCCACCCAGAAGAGCAGCCGGGCACCUGGGAGCGCACAGCCCUAACAAACGCCCCCACAGGCCCAUUGCUCAACUACCUGGGGCCAGCCCAGCGGAUACGGGACAACAGGUGUCACCUGUCCCAAGAAGGAAGAGAUGUGGCCAGAGAGACCGCGGGGCUCCUGGACCCCAGAUGAAAGGCCAUCGACCGCCCCUGGACCUUCUCACGCCACAUUCCUGCCAACACAGGGCUUUGGGACAAUAAAAACAGCUCCCUCCUACCAGCACCUGGGCCUGCCUGCCCUUCUGGACCCGGGCGGUGUACGUGUGUGAUCACAAGCGAACGGCUUAGCCCCUCUGCUCCGGGAUUUCGGCAUCUGCAAAGCCGUAGAGGCGAUGCCAUCUACCCACGGCUCACGGAGCUGCAGUGACGAUGAGGCAUGUAAGGCUGACACACAGGCACUCCCCCACGCGUGUCAGCUGGGAUCAUUAAUUACCAUCCUCGUCACAGACGACCCUGCAGCAGCCCCCCGCUGCACUCUCUAACUCCACACUAGCUUCCUCUCAGCAGCCCAAGUGACCUUAACAGUGGGGAGGGGAGGUCAUCCCGGUUACUGUCCCCCAUGGCGCCCCAGCAGCCUCCAUGCCAACCUCUCCAGGCUGGCCGACCAUCAUUGACGGGGGGGGGGUGGGGGGGGACUCUGGCUCCAUCCCCGCCUCCCUGCCCAACCCCAAAAUAAGGUGGAAGCCCCUACCACAUGCUCCCGAAACUCCUAAAACUCCUGCGUUGACCUUUUCACACUUACAGAUAGGAAGGGGCCUACUUGGGACCACUCUGCCCCCCGAGACUGUGCUCACGCGGCACGCACAGCACGCUGCUAGUAGCUGCAGGGUGACAACUACACGGCUGGCAACCAACUGGAGACUCUGGGCCCUCCUCUCCCAGCAUCACAGCCCAUGCAGCCUCUACUCGGGGGCACGACGCUGCGAGACAGGACUUCCAGGGCCCCAUACGCAGUUCCCUGGCAUCAAGACCACUCACGCUGCUGUACCACCACCACCGCCAUCCGUCAUCCCAGACUGACGCUCUGUACUGACUGGACAAGUGCCACCCACGCCCCUCCCCACGGCCCCCGGGAGCCACCGUCUCGCCCUGUCUGUGACUCGCCUGCUCCGGGGACUUCACGUAUGUGGAGGUGUAACAUAUCUGUCCUUCGGUGGCUGCCAUAUGUCACCGAGCAUUAUGUCUUCAAGUGCAUCCACGCUGUGGCAAGUGUCAGCACUUCCUUCCUCUUUAGGGCUGUGUCUGUCUAGGUCACAUUUUAUUGACCCGCUCAUCCACCAGGGGACAGCUGGGUUGCGUCUUCUGCUUGGCGGUAUGAAAAAUGCUACUGAAACUUAGGGAUGCAAACACCCUAUUCAAUUCUGGGGAGGGGGGGGCACAUGCCUAGACCUGAGAUUUCUAGAUAAUAUGGCAAUUCUGUUUUUAAUUUUUGGAGGAACCACUGUAUCUUUCUAUAGUGACUGUGGCCACCUCACAUUUCCAGCAGGGCUUCAGCAUUGACACGUUCUGCGUUUGUCUGUGUGUUUCCAGUGGCCAUCCUGACGGCAACCCUUCAUUUUUUAAGCUUUAAAACUGGUUGACUGAACUAAGUUUUUGUCUCAUCUGUGCAGCUAAGAAUGUUAUUAGCAAAUCUGUUUCUCAUGAGUAUGCUGAGAAAUAAUUCUGAGAGGUUAAUUUUCACAGAGCAGCUAAGAUUUAAAAAACAAAAAAAGCCCAAACCAGAAAACUUUGGACACAAAAUCACCCUGUAUUCAAAUCUGAAAGUGCCACUUCUGAGACUAAUAAAGUGCCUUUUCUGAACUUCAGUUUACUCAUUAAUGGAACCAAGCUCCUAAGUUACUCAUCUACGAAACACUCAUUUCUACAAGCUGUUGGGAGAAUUACAUUACAGAACUGGAUCAUGCACUUGGCCUGUGCCUGGAGCCUGGAACCUCACGGACGGGACAGGUGAUGAGGACAAGGGAAUGAGUCGUGACUACCAGAAUGCCACCAACACGUGGAUCAAAAAAGAUCUCAUAUUUAGCAUUUUAUACACGUAGAUCCUUUCCCCGUUGACGCAGGUAAGCUUGUUCUAUACAAUUUACACAUUUUUCUCCUCAAACCUCAAAGCUGUCGCUGAAGUGGCAACGGGCACUUGUCACGUAUUUUAAAUUAUCUCAAAUCUAGUUAGAGCAGAAAGGUGGAGCACAUUGUGAGAGGAGAUUGUUUUUCUCUGCUCUCGGAGGUAAUGAAGAGUCCAUGUCAGACGCCCUUUCAAACAUGUGGCUUUGGCUAAAUCAAGUCCUAUAUGAAAGAGACAGGCCUACCUGGGAUCUCUUGCACCUUCACCCGGCAUCUCCUGUGAACUCCCAGGGCUUGAGGGGAAGACAGAAAUCAUUUAACCCAAACUCCCACCAAAUACCUGCUGUUAGUUCUGUUUCUUUGGAGUUACUAAUAACUCACUGUGAAACAGAAAAUAUUUGGGAACCCUUAAGCCAACCAAUAAAUAGAAAUGGAUUUUAAAAUAAAAGUUCAACUGAAAGGGUGCUAAUUCACCAUGGAAAACACCUCCAGGCCCCUUAUAUGUACAUGUGCUCCGGGCGUUUUUCUAAACACUUGACAGUUACUAACAAUUUUAAUCUCAUGGGGACUCUGAUUCAGAUCCUAUUAAUAUUACAAUGCAUUUUAGUUAUUCUUAAAAUUUUGAUAGAGAAACGUUCGUGUAAAAUAACACUCCAAUACUUUAGUUAUGUUACUGGCUUCGGGUUUCUAGACUGUCUGCAUUUUCCAUCUUGGUAAGCUCACGCAAACCUCUUUCUUUCUCCCAAAGAAGUGGCUGGAAACAUAGACAUGCCCUAGCAAUGGAAUCUGUUUAGGCUGAUUACUUUGGGUUUAACCAGAAACUGGGGACGCCUGGGUUGCUCAGCGGUUGGGCACCUGUCUUUGGCCCAGGUCACGAUCCCAGAAACCGGGAUCGAGUAACCGCAUCAGGCUCCCUGCAAGGAGCCUGCCUCUCCCUCUGCCUGUGUCUCUGCCUCUCUCAGACUGUGUCUCUCAUAAAUAAAUAAAUCUUAACCAGAAACUGUUUCAACCGUUGUUGCAUUAAGAUGCUUUAAACUGUUUUCUGAUUUCAAUAAAUAUGAUAUAUGGGUGUGUGACUUUUAAUCUUCCACUGGUAGUUCAAGAUUUAGCAAGGGAAGUCAGUCUGUUUUUGGAAGAACUCCUUAACCAAGCCUAAGACAGCUCGUGGUGAAACUGACCCACUGUGACACAGGC